AUUGAACGCUGGCGGCAUGCUUUACACAUGCAAGUCGAACGGUAACAGGCCUUCGGGCGCUGACGAGUGGCGAACGGGUGAGUAAUGCAUCGGAACGUGCCCAGUCGUGGGGGAUAACGCAGCGAAAGCUGUGCUAAUACCGCAUACGAUCUGCGGAUGAAAGCGGGGGACCUUAGGGCCUCGCGCGAUUGGAGCGGCCGAUGUCAGAUUAGCUAGUUGGUGGGGUAAAGGCCCACCAAGGCGACGAUCUGUAGCUGGUCUGAGAGGACGACCAGCCACACUGGGACUGAGACACGGCCCAGACUCCUACGGGAGGCAGCAGUGGGGAAUAUUGGGCAAUGGAGGAAACGUCUGACCCAGCGACGCCGCGUGAGGGAUGAAGGCCUUC
rnacentral:rRNA from 1 species